rnacentral:rRNA from 1 species
UACGUAGGGUCCGAGCGUUGUCCGGAAUUACUGGGCGUAAAGAGCUCGUAGGUGGUUUGUCGCGUUGUUCGUGAAAACUCACAGCUCAACUGUGGGCGUGCGGGCGAUACGGGCAGACUGGAGUACUGCAGGGGAGACUGGAAUUCCUGGUGUAGCGGUGAAAUGCGCAGAUAUCAGGGAGGAACACCGGUGGCGAAGGCGG